rnacentral:rRNA from 1 species
UACCCAGACUCCUACGGGAGGCAGCAGUGGGGAAUAUUGCGCAAUGGGGGCAACCCUGACGCAGCAACGCCGCGUGAUUGAAGAAGGCCUUCGGGUUGUAAAGAUCUUUAAUUGGGGACGAAAACAAUGACGGUACCCAAAGAAUAAGCUCCGGCUAACUACGUGCCAGCAGCCGCGGUAAUACGUAGGGAGCAAGCGUUAUCCGGAUUUACUGGGUGUAAAGGGCGUGUAGGCGGGACUGCAAGUCAGAUGUGAAACCCAUGGGCUCAACCCAUGGCCUGCAUUUGAAACUGUAGUUCUUGAGUGAUGGAGAGGCAGGCGGAAUUCCGUGUGUAGCGGUGAAAUGCGUAGAUAUACGGAGGAACACCAGUGGCGAAGGCGGCCUGCUGGACAUUAACUGACGCUGAGGCGCGAAAGCGUGGGGAGCAAACAGGAUUAGAUACCCGAGUA